rnacentral:rRNA from 1 species
GAGUUUGAUCCUGGCUCAGAUUGAACGCUGGCGGCAGGCUUAACACAUGCAAGUCGAGCGGUAACAGGGGGUGCUUGCACCCCGCUGACGAGCGGCGGACGGGUGAGUAAUGCAUAGGAAACUGCCCAGUAGUGGGGGAUAGCCCGGGGAAACCCGGAUUAAUACCGCGUACGCCCUUCGGGGGAAAGCAGGGGAUCUUCGGACCUUGCGCUAUUGGAUGUGCCUAUGUCGGAUUAGCUAGUUGGUGGGGUAAAGGCCUACCAAGGCGACGAUCCGUAGCUGGUCUGAGAGGAUGAUCAGCCACAUCGGGACUGAGACACGGUCCAGACUCCUACGGGAGGCAGCAGUGGGGAAUAUUGCACAAUGGGCGCAAGCCUGAUGCAGCCAUGCCGCGUGUAUGAAGAAGGCCUUCGGGUUGUAAAGUACUUUCAGCAGUGAGGAAGGGGGUGUCGUUAAUAGCGGCAUUUCUUGACGUUAGCUGCAGAAGAAGCACCGGCUAACUCCGUGCCAGCAGCCGCGGUAAUACGGAGGGUGCGAGCGUUAAUCGGAAUUACUGGGCGUAAAGCGCAUGCAGGUGGUUUGUUAAGUCAGAUGUGAAAGCCCGGGGCUCAACCUCGGAACUGCAUUUGAAACUGGCAAACUAGAGUACUGUAGAGGGGGGUAGAAUUUCAGGUGUAGCGGUGAAAUGCGUAGAGAUCUGAAGGAAUACCAGUGGCGAAGGCGGCCCCCUGGACAGAUACUGACACUCAGAUGCGAAAGCGUGGGGAGCAAACAGGAUUAGAUACCCUGGUAGUCCACGCCGUAAACGAUGUCUACUUGGAGGUUGUGGCCUUGAGCCGUGGCUUUCGGAGCUAACGCGUUAAGUAGACCGCCUGGGGAGUACGGUCGCAAGAUUAAAACUCAAAUGAAUUGACGGGGGCCCGCACAAGCGGUGGAGCAUGUGGUUUAAUUCGAUGCAACGCGAAGAACCUUACCUACUCUUGACAUCCAGAGAAGCCAGCGGAGACGCAGGUGUGCCUUCGGGAGCUCUGAGACAGGUGCUGCAUGGCUGUCGUCAGCUCGUGUUGUGAAAUGUUGGGUUAAGUCCCGCAACGAGCGCAACCCUUAUCCUUGUUUGCCAGCGAGUAAUGUCGGGAACUCCAGGGAGACUGCCGGUGAUAAACCGGAGGAAGGUGGGGACGACGUCAAGUCAUCAUGGCCCUUACGAGUAGGGCUACACACGUGCUACAAUGGCGCAUACAGAGGGCAGCGAACUUGCGAGAGUAAGCGAAUCCCAAAAAGUGCGUCGUAGUCCGGAUUGGAGUCUGCAACUCGACUCCAUGAAGUCGGAAUCGCUAGUAAUCGUAGAUCAGAAUGCUACGGUGAAUACGUUCCCGGGCCUUGUACACACCGCCCGUCACACCAUGGGAGUGGGCUGCAAAAGAAGUGGGUAGUUUAACCUUCGGGAGGACGCUCACCACUUUGUGGUUCAUGACUGGGGUGAAGUCGUAACAAGGUAACCGUA